ACUCAUACAUGGCAGGGGAGAUACCAUUAUUGUAAAAGUGGUUUUCCCAGGGUAAGGCUCAUCCAUUGCACUUUGGAUGUGCUGACCCCUGUCAUUUCCCUAAAUGUGGGAAAAUCAACUGCCUAAGUGGUUCCCCCUGGUCUUUCUAGAAUCACCCUU
rnacentral:snRNA from 1 species